CACUCUGAUUCUUUGUUUUUCAAGUCUGGCCUGUCUCUGUAUGGGAGUCUCAUUCUUUCUUGAUGUACUCGCUCUGAUUCUGUGUGUUUCAAGUCUGGCCUGUGUCUGUUGGGGAGUCUCAUCUAUUAUUCUUCGUUUUCUUUUUGCUUCUGAAGAUAAUCUACCUAUCAAUGGUCUUUUUUUUGGUGGCAUUAUGACAAAUAACGACAAACAGCGCCGCCUACCAAAAAUUAAAAAAAGUUUUUUAAAGUCAUAAAUUGUAGCAGAAAGUUUUUUAAAGUCAGAAAUUGUAGCAUAAAGUUUUAGUCAUAAAUAAAAUUUAAAUAAUUAAAAAUUUUAACAGCUAAUCGCCAGCGUGGGUUUCAUUAGUGCACCGCGUCAGAUUCGGAGGAAAAGUUAUCGAAAAUCGUAAAUAGCAAAGUUUUAAUUAAGAAAGCACGAUUUUAAUAUCAAGCCGAUGAUUUAAUAUAUAAAUUUAAUAUACAAAGAUGAAUGUCAAAGAAUCGAGGAAAAUAUUUAAACAAAAAGGUUUAAAUAAAUUUGGCUACAAUUCUCAGAACUGGCAAAGCGUUUACGGUUUUCUGUCUAGAGAGGGCGCAACCAUAGCCACUGGAUCGCCAAUUUCAAGCUUAAUUUGAACGAUUUUUUAAAUACUAUUAAGCCGAUCUUCUUGAAUUAUAGCGGAAAACCAUCUACUCAGCAAGAUUAUCCAAC
rnacentral:lncRNA from 1 species